rnacentral:rRNA from 1 species
UUCGGCCGAUUCCCUUGAGUUUGAUCAUGGCUCAGGACGAACGCUUGCGGCGUGCCUAAGAAAUGCAAGUCGAACGGACAUCGGACUUGUCCGGUGUCAGUGGCGAACGGUCGCGUAACACGUAAGCAACCUGCCCCGAAGUGGGGGAUAACAGCUCGAAAGGGCUGCUAAUACCGCAUGUGGCCACGAGUACGCCUGUUCUUGUGUCUAAAGCCUUGUGCGCUUCGGGAUGGGCUUGCGGCCUAUCAGUUAGUUGGUGGGGUAACGGCCUACCAAGGCGUUGACGGGUAGCUGGUCUGAGAGGAUGGUCAGCCGGAUUGGGACUGAGACACGGCCCAGACUCCUACGGGGGGCAGCAAUUAGGAAUCUUGCGCAAUGGGGGCAACCCUGACGCAGCGACGCCGCGUGCGGGAUGACGGGCUUCGGCCUGUAAACCGCUUUUGAAGGGGAAGAAUACUGACGGUACCCUUCGAAUAAGCCCCGGCUAACUACGUGCCAGCAGCCGCGGUAAUACGUAGGGGGCGAGCGUUGUCCGAAGUUACUGGGCGUAAAGCGCGCGUAGGCGGCUCUUUAAGUCUGGCGUGAAAGGUUCAGGGCUCAACCCGAACAGUGCGCUGGAGACUGGAGAGCUUGAGGACGGGAGAGGGAAGCGGAAUUCCGGGUGUAGCGGUGAAAUGCGUAGAUAUCCGGAGGAACACCGAUGGCGAAGGCAGCUUCCUGGCCCGUAUCUGACGCUGAGGUGCGAAAGCGUGNGGAGCGAACGGGAUUAG